rnacentral:rRNA from 1 species
AGCGAACGCUGGCGGCAGGCCUAACACAUGCAAGUCGAACGAACUCUUCGGAGUUAGUGGCGGACGGGUGAGUAACACGUGGGAACGUGCCUUUAGGUUCGGAAUAACUCAGGGAAACUUGUGCUAAUACCGAAUGUGCCCUUCGGGGGAAAGAUUUAUCGCCUUUAGAGCGGCCCGCGUCUGAUUAGCUAGUUGGAGGUAAAGGCUCACCAAGGCGACGAUCAGUAGCUGGUCUGAGAGGAUGAUCAGCCACAUUGGGACUGAGACACGGCCCAAACUCCUACGGGAGGCAGCAGUGGGGAAUCUUGCGCAAUGGGCGAAAGCCUGACGCAGCCAUGCCGCGUGAAUGAUGAAGGUCUUAGGAUUGUAAAAUUCUUUCACCGGGGACGAUAAUGACGGUACCCGGAGAAGAAGCCCCGGCUAACUUCGUG